UGCCCCCUACCCCCACCCCCCGCCAUAGGGUACUCAUUUUUCCCCACCUGGACUUGAGUUCAAUGGAACACAUAAAUUUAAGCCAUAGUAUGUCCCUGAUCUUGAACCUAAACCCUUGUGCUCCUCUAUCACAUUCUCAUCAUUCUUUACUCAAAGAUGAGUUGCAACACUUGAUAGGGUAUUGAUUAUGGAGUUCUGAGCUCAGAAGCAAAAGAGGGUACAGAUUGAAAUUGAAUAAGCACAUAGGAACAAUAGGAACAUUAUAAGACAUAACACUUAUGUUUUAUGAUCUUUAGAUCAGUGGUCAAAAAAAUAACAAUAGAUACAUAUUUUUUUCUUGUCAGUACUGUGGAUUGAACUCAGAGACACUCUACCAAUGAGCCACAUCCCUCAGGAUUUUUUAUUUUGAGUUAGAGUUCUGCCAUCCAAUUUGCAAUCCUCCUGAUUCAGCCGCAAAAUUACAGCCAUGUGCACCAGCUCUGAGAUCACCACCAAGGACUUCAGUGAGAAAAAGGAAAUUGUGGCAGAGUCAGAAUGGAACCGCCCCUGCUAAUGGUCAUCAAGCCAUCCAGAAUGGAGAAAGUGUCCAGGAGUAAGCCCAGAAGAGAAAACAAUGCAGGAUGCCUUGAGGUGACAGAAUUCAAGAUCCAUGUCCCAUGUGAAAGGCAAGUUGGAUGAAGAGAGGAAGCCCUUCUGAACAUCCGUUUGACUGUGGAUUCUUCAUGGAUUGCCAUAAACUACUCACAUCUAACAGAAAAUCUUAUAUGAUAUCUGGAUUCUUGAUGUGUGCAUGAUAGGCUAGCAAUAGAUCUUUUGAUUGAGAGCUCACCCACUCUUUCUACCAAUGUGCUUAAUUAAGAAGUUAUAAAAUUAAAAUAUAGCUCCCUAUGGUCCUUAAUCCCCAGACAUUUUGUUUAAGUCAUUUUGCUUAUUAAUGAAAUCCCAUCAUCUUCCCCACACCAACAACUGAUGAGAACACAUUUUAUUAAUAGGCUCAAAUAUAUGUUCUUUAUAGGAUUUAAAAAAAAACAUAAGUGAAUGGGAAGUUAUACUCCACAUAUGUAUCUAUGUAUUUUGCUGUCAUGUAUCUAAAAAGAGCAAAUAAUUAUUUAAAAAAACAUUAUUUAGCUACUAAUGUUUCAGUAUUUAAAUUUUCUUAGAAAUAAGUCAUGUUUUAUAUUUGUCACAUUACAUAGACUGUACAUAAAGAACACAGUUAUAAGCACAUAUUUCAAUCACAUUUAUCUAGUUUAUUUACUUUUAACAAUUACUCCUAGAUAACCCAGAAUUACCAAAAUUCCAGACAAGCAUAGUCAGUAUUUUUUAAGCUGGUUUAUGUUUUUUUUUUCUUUUUUUCACAUUCAGAUGAGUUUAGGACUUAAUCUCAGAUUUUUCCUUCCAUCUAAGAUUGACUGAAAUUAUAAACUUCCAAAUGAACAUGAAUUUUUAAAAAUUAUCUUUUUUAUUUUUUAGUGCAUUAUAGUUGUAGUUAAAAUUAUCUUAAAGUUUUUUGCAAGAAAACUCUAUGUUAUACGUGCCAAUCAAACAUAAUUUUAAGUUAGGUGCAAAAAUGAAAAGUAAAUUUUUAAUGUUUUAUAUUAGUGCACAAAUAAUGGGUUGAUUUUGAGAUAAUCAUACAGUGUGAAACAAAAUUUGCUUCAUUGCAGUCCCCACUAAUUCCUCAUUCCCUGUUCUUCUCCCUCCCCCAUUUUUUCCUAUUCUUCUGAUGUUCCUUAUAUUUUUGUAUUGUUAGAUUUGUGCUUUAUAGGUAGGUAUACAUGCAAGUAAAAUUCACUGUGGUAUAUUGACAUAUGUACAGAGCAUAAUUUGGUAAAUUUCACUCCAUGGUUCUUCCCUUUUCCUGUCUCUCCUCCUAGUCCCAAGUCUGUAAUAUACUCGAUUAGCUCCUGUUUAUUUUCAUGGUGUCCCUCUAUCUUUCUUCCCCCCUUACUUUGUUCUUUGUGAGACAUGACAGAAAACAUUCAACCCUUAACUUGAUGAGCCUGGUUUAUUUCACUUAGCAUGAUGUUCUCCAGUUCCAUCUACUUACUGGCAAAUGCCACAGUUUUUUUUCUUCUUAGUGGCUGAGUAAAUUCCAUGUGUCUAUACACCACAUUUUCUUUAUCUGUUGAUAGACACGUGGGCUGGUUUCAUAACUUGACUAUUGUGAAUGGCACUGCUCUAAACAUUGAGGCCCCUGUAUCACUAUAGUAUGCUGACUUUAGUUCUUUAUGAAUAAAUACAAAGACAUGAAAUAGCUGGAUCAUGUGGUCGUUCCACUUCUAGUCUGUUGGGAAUUCUCCAAAGUGCUUUCCCGAGUACACUUACUAAUAUAUAACCAAUCAACAGUAUAUGAGUUUACAUUUUCUCCCCACUUCCUCCUCAGCAUUUAUUAAUUUGUAUUCCUGAUAAUUGCCAUUCUCAAUGGAUUGAGAUGAAAUUUCAAUGACUUUUUAUUUGCAUUUCCCUGAUUGUUGGGA